rnacentral:rRNA from 1 species
AGUGAACGCUGGCGGUAGGCCUAACACAUGCAAGUCGAACGGCAGCACAGUAAGAGCUUGCUCUUACGGGUGGCGAGUGGCGGACGGGUGAGGAAUACAUCGGAAUCUACUUUUUCGUGGGGGAUAACGUAGGGAAACUUACGCUAAUACCGCAUACGACCUACGGGUGAAAGCAGGGGAUCUUCGGACCUUGCGCGAUUGAAUGAGCCGAUGUCGGAUUAGCUAGUUGGCGGGGUAAAGGCCCACCAAGGCGACGAUACGUAGCUGGUGUGAGAGGAUGGUCGGCCACACUGGAGCUGGAACACGGACCAGACUCCUGCGGGAGGCAGCAGUGGGGAAUGUUAGACAAUGGGCGCAAGCCUGGUCCAGCCAUACCGCGUGGGUGAAGGAGGCCUUCGGGUUGUAAAGCCCUUUUGUUGGGAAAGAAAAGCAGCAGGUUAAUACCCCGCUGUUCUGACGGUACCCAAAGAAUAAGCACCGGCUAACUUCGUG